UACAGAGGUCCCAAGCGUUGUUCGGAUUCACUGGGCGUAAAGGGUGCGUAGGCGGUCGGGUAAGUCUGAUGUGAAAUCUCACAGCUUAACUGUGAAACUGCAUUGGAUACUAUCCGGCUCGAGGAAUGGAGGGGAGACUGGAAUACUUGGUGUAGCAGUGAAAUGCGUAGUUAUCAAGUGGAACACCAGUGGCGAAGGCGAGUCUCUGGACAUUUCCUGACGCUGAGGCACGAAAGCCAGGGGAGCAAACGGG
rnacentral:rRNA from 1 species